rnacentral:rRNA from 1 species
UCCAGACUCCUACGGGAGGCAGCAGUGGGGGAUAUUGCACAAUGGGGGAAACCCUGAUGCAGCGACGCCGCGUGAGUGAAGAAGUAUUUCGGUAUGUAAAGCUCUAUCAGCAGGGAAGAAAAAAGACGGUACCUGACUAAGAAGCCCCGGCUAACUACGUGCCAGCAGCCGCGGUAAUACGUAGGGGGCAAGCGUUAUCCGGAUUUACUGGGUGUAAAGGGAGCGUAGACGGCAAUACAAGUCGGAAGUGAAAUACCCGGGCUUAACCUGGGAACUGCUUUGGAAACUGUAUGGCUGGAGUGCUGGAGAGGUAAGCGGAAUUCCUAGUGUAGCGGUGAAAUGCGUAGAUAUUAGGAGGAACACCAGUGGCGAAGGCGGCUUACUGGACAGUAACUGACGUUGAGGCUCGAAAGCGUGGGGAGCAAACAGGAUUAGAUCCCCUAGUA